rnacentral:rRNA from 1 species
UACGUAGGGUGCGAGCGUUAAUCGGAAUUACUGGGCGUAAAGCGUGCGCAGGCGGUUCGUUAAGUUCGAUGUGAAAGCCCCGGGCUCAACCUGGGAACUGCAUUGGAAACUGGCGAGCUUGAAUGCGGCAGAGGGGGGUGGAAUUCCGCGUGUAGCAGUGAAAUGCGUAGAGAUGCGGAGGAACACCGAUGGCGAAGGCAGCCCCCUGGGCUGACACUGACGCUCAGGCACGAAAGCGUGGGGAGCAAACAGG